CCUUUGCAGUGGUGAUGAUCUCUUUUCCUCUGCCACGUAUCGUCCUUCGUCUCCGCUUCCUCUCAUCUUCCUCACGGUUAUCCUUCAUCUCUUCCCUUUCUCUUCUCCUCUUCAAGCGUUCCACAAUGACUAACAUACUCAACAACAACGGUAGUGGCUGACCUUUAAUUAGGGUUAAGAUUAAGACGACGCGGUGACGCUCGGUUUAGGAACGGUUGCAUGAAUCGCUUUGGUUUCCUUCACUUGUGAACUCUCUUCUCUCUCGGAUAUGGCUUAUUUGGUUUCCGUUAGUGGCUCAGAGAAAAGGGAGAUAGAUUCACCUAUAUAUAUGUGCAACCAACAACACACGUAACAAAACCCUUUAACAUUAGGGAGUUGCUUCACUUGGGUUUAAAUGGGCUCCAUGGGUUCCAUGGGCUUUGCUUUUUGACAAAACGAAUAGGGUGGGCUA